GAUGAAUGCUGGCGGCGUGCCUAACACAUGCAAGUCGAGCGGGAACAGGAGUAGUUUACUACUUGCUGACGAGCGGCGGACGGCUGAGUAACGCGUGGGAACGUGCCCCAAAGUGAGGAAUAACUGCCCGAAAGGGUAGCUAAUACCGCAUAUGAUCUUCGGAUUAAAGGAUUUAUCCGCUUUGGGAGCGGCCCGCGUCGGAUUAGGUAGUUGGUGAGGUAAUGGCUCACCAAGCCCACGAUCCGUAGCUGGUCUGAGAGGAUGAUCAGCCAGACUGGAACUGAGACACGGUCCAGACUCCUACGGGAGGCAGCAGUGAGGAAUCUUCCACAAUGGGCGAAAGCCUGAUGGAGCAACGCCGCGUGCAGGAUGAAGGCCUUCGGGUCGUAAACUGCUUUUAUAAGUGAAGAAUAUGACGGUAGCUUAUGAAUAAGCACCGGCUAACUACGUGCCAGCCGCCGCGGUAAAAC
rnacentral:rRNA from 1 species